rnacentral:lncRNA from 1 species
AAGUGUGUACCUGAACAGUUUCUCAAGCGCUAUCAUGAAAUAUAAGAGUUAGUUUGGAAAUAUGACACAUAAUAUGUAUUUUGUCAAAGAUGAUCAAUCAAUCAUGCCAUCAAACAGGAUCAUAGCUCAUGAUAACGUACACAUUCAUAGAAUUUUAGAGUUGUAAGGUGAGAAGAGCAUACCUGAUUAGCGAACAUCCACACGUCUCAUGGGAACAAGGGUAUCUCAACAAUAAGU